rnacentral:rRNA from 1 species
GAUGAACGCUAGCUACAGGCUUAACACAUGCAAGUCGAGGGGCAGCACGGAGAUAGCUUGCUAUCUUGGGUGGCGACCGGCGCACGGGUGAGUAACGCGUAUCCAACCUGCCCAUUACUCUGGGAUAGCCUUGCGAAAGUAAGAUUAAUACCGGAUGUUGUUAAAAACCCGCAUGAGUUUUUAACCAAAGAUUUAUUGGUAAUGGAUGGGGAUGCGUGACAUUAGGUAGUUGGUGAGGUAACGGCUCACCAAGCCGACGAUGGCUAGGGGUUCUGAGGGGAAGGUCCCCCACCAUGGAACUGAGACACGGUCCAGACUCCUACGGGAGGCAGCAGUGAGGAAUACUGGUCAAUGGACGAGAGUCUGAACCAGCCAAGUAGCGUGCAAGAUGACGGCCCUCUGGGUUGUAAACUGCUUUUAGUUGGGAAUAAAAAGAGGGACGUGUCCCUAAUUGUAUGUACCAUCAGAAAAAGGACCGGCUAAUUUCGUGCCAGCAGCCGCAGUAAAAC